GACGAACGCUGGCGGCGUGCCUAAUACAUGCAAGUCGAGCGGAGCUUAGCCUUCCUUUGGAAGGCUCUGGCUUAGCGGCGGACGGGUGAGUAACACGUAGGCAACCUGCCCGUAAGACCGGGAUAACUUGCGGAAACGUGAGCUAAUACCGGAUAGAUAGGAAGAGUGCAUGCUCUUCUUAGGAAAGACGGAGCAAUCUGUCACUUACGGAUGGGCCUGCGGCGCAUUAGCUAGUUGGUGGGGUAAAGGCCUACCAAGGCGACGAUGCGUAGCCGACCUGAGAGGGUGACCGGCCACACUGGGACUGAGACACGGCCCAGACUCCUACGGGUGGCAG
rnacentral:rRNA from 1 species